rnacentral:tRNA from 1 species
GAUCGCGCUGAUCGGGGCGGGCGAUGCCGCCUCGGCGGUGGCGGUGGCGCUCAGUGGCAUCGGUUCGAUCCUCGGCGCGAUCC